GAGGCCACUGGGCUCAGGACAGGGCACACGGCCCGAGGGGAGGCACCGCCUUUAGACACGGUGGCUCUGGCCAGGCAGACUCAUCUUGAGUUUUAUGUUUUGGGUUUUUUGGGGGGGUUCUUUGGCUGAUAAUCCUGGCUCUGCCAUGUAUUAGUCGUGAGACCUUGAGCUAUUCACGUGCUCAUUCUGGCCUCUGUCUCCUCCUGUGCGAUCGGAACUAUUGCUUAGGGAUUGCAAGACACCAAACGAUUUAAUAAAUGAAAGCCUUUGGCAUAGCACCUGACACGGCAGGGUCCUGAUGAGAGGUGGUGAUGACAGUGACGAAGAAGAUGAUGGAGACGAGGGCGACAGAGGAAGAGCUGCACGCUGAGGCGGCAGGAGCAGGGAGGGACCCUCGGGCAACGCCGGAGGCGCAGAGGGCGUCUGGAAGCACGACUGCGUCCCGAUGUGCUGGGUUUGCACACUCCAGAUGAGGAAACGGAGGCUCAGAAACUUGCCGGGAUCUAACCCUCUCACUCGCUGCGUUCACUGGGCCAAAGUGACUAUGAAGAGCAGGUCCGAUUAACCCAGCAGCUGAGGCUCCAUCUCUGCUCCUGGGCUGCAGGGCCCCUCCCCAGCUCCAAUCCCAGCCUCCCCAUUCCCAGGCCCAGGAGGGAGGGCGCCCGCCAGAGACACACACGACCCGAAUCUGGCAGCAAAAGGAGGGAAACUGGCACUUGUCAGGCCACAACCCCCGUGCCCGGCACUUCCGUGUAUUCUCUUCUAAUUCCAUCUCUUCCCCCUGGACAGUGAAGAUGCCCAUUCACACAAGCGGAGGCUCAGAGAUGGUGAGCGAGGCUGCACAGGGGCACAGGUGCCAGGAUCCGGCCGGACGGUUCGAAUCCGUGCUUCUGCUGCACCAGACUCCCGCUCGGCUCUGUCUAGCUGCCUGUGGGGUCCUGGGACACCUGCCGUGUCGCCUCUGUCCAUCACCAAAGCCCCAGCCCCACCCGAGCCCCGGGUCCAUGAGCAGCAGGCCGGGAACACGAGGGAAAGAGGAGGACCCUGGAGCCUUGGGCAGCUCCCAGCUGCCCGGCUACAUGCGCCGCAGCCCCAGCCUGAUGUCCCUGAUCCAGCCUCCUCUCUGCAGACCCCGUCCAGGUGCCUCGCAGGAACGCUGAUCCCUGGGCAGCUUCUGCUAAGUCCCCGCCAAGAGGCUGGGCCCUGUUUGCCUCACACACUGGUCCCGUGCCCCCCACCCAGCAUCCUGCUAUAACAUGGACAGGCCCUGGCGCUGCCCAUGGCUCCGUGCUACCCAGAAUGCCCUUGAAUGUCCGUGGCUGACUC
rnacentral:lncRNA from 1 species